rnacentral:rRNA from 1 species
UACAGAGGUCUCAACCGUUGUUCGGAUUCAUUGGGCGUAAAGGGUGCGUAGGCGGCGGGGUAAGUCAGGUGUGAAAUCUCGGGGCUCAACCCCGAAACUGCACUUGAUACUGCCUCGCUUGAGUACUGGAGAGGAGACUGGAAUUUACGGUGUAGCAGUGAAAUGCGUAGAUAUCGUAAGGAAGACCAGUGGCGAAGGCGAGCCUCUGGACAGUUACUGACGCUGAGGCACGAAGGCCAGGGGAGCAAACGGG